ensembl:snRNA U6 U6 spliceosomal RNA
AUGCUCGCUUUGGCAGCACAUAUACUAAAACUGGAAAUGAUACAGAGAAGAUUAGCAUGGACCCUGUGCCAGGAUGACAUGCAAAUUUAUAAGUGUUCCGUAUUUUU